rnacentral:rRNA from 1 species
UACGUAGGGUGCAAGCGUUAAUCGGAAUUACUGGGCGUAAAGCGUGCGCAGGCGGUUAUGUAAGACAGGUGUGAAAUCCCCGGGCUUAACCUGGGAACUGCAUUUGUGACUGCAUAGCUAGAGUACGGUAGAGGGGGAUGGGAAUUCCGCGUGUAGCAGUGAAAUGCGUAGAUAUGCGGAGGAACACCGAUGGCGAAGGCAAUCCCCUGGACCUGUACUGACGCUCAUGCACGAAAGCGUGGGGAGCAAACGAGG